CUUCACCUUCUGUUCGACCUGCAGGAACCUCCAGGCCGACAUGUUAUCACAUCUUACACAGCUGAUAAAAGUCUCCAAGCAGGUUCCCAUCAGGAUUGAGACCCUCAGAUGCAUGAGGAAGAGGAGGGGAAGAGGAGAGGACAAGAAUGUUUUUGUGUUUGUUUUUCCCAGAUUAGAUCAUAAAGGUGUGUUGUGUCUGAGAUCGAAGGCGUUCUUUGGUUUUGGAUUCCAGGAGAAUCCACGGCUGUGUUCCAGUGUAUUAAAAUGCCUUCACUGUAACGGCAUUUCAAGCAGACUGCAGCCAGCAUGCCUUUGUUGCCGGUCCUUCCAUCGGUAGCCUGAUAAACCACCUAGAAAGCAGAAUCUGAACAUUAUUGCUGCAUAAGUGAUGAUCAACAACGAAUCCCACCGUCAGACUCUGGCAGAAAGGUUUCUCUCUGGGAAGGAGACCUGGAUGAUCCCGGAGUGGCGGUCCAAGGAGGACCUGCAUGUCUCCAAAUCUACUUAUCU